UACGUAGGGUGCAAGCGUUAUCCGGAUUCACUGGGCUUAAAGGGUGUGUAGGCGGAUUUUUAAGUCAGUGGUGAAAUCUCCGGGCUCAACCCGGAAACUGCCAUUGAUACUAUUAGUCUUGAAUUCUGUUGAGGUGGGCGGAAUACAUCAUGUAGCGGUGAAAUGCUUAGAUAUGAUGUAGAACACCGAUUGCGAAGGCAGCUCACUAAGCAGACAUUGACGCUGAGGCACGAAAGCGUGGGGAUCAAACAGG
rnacentral:rRNA from 1 species